ACUCCUACGGGAGGCAGCAGUGGGGAAUAUUGCACAAUGGGCGCAAGCCUGAUGCAGCCAUGCCGCGUGUAUGAAGAAGGCCUUCGGGUUGUAAAGUACUUUCAGCAGUGAGGAAGGCGGGUGUGUUAAUAGCAUAUUCGUUUGACGUUAGCUGCAGAAGAAGCACCGGCUAACUCCGUGCCAGCAGCCGCGGUAAUACGGAGGGUGCGAGCGUUAAUCGGAAUUACUGGGCGUAAAGCGCAUGCAGGUGGUUUGUUAAGUCAGAUGUGAAAGCCCGGGGCUCAACCUCGGAAUUGCAUUUGAAACUGGCAGACUAGAGUACUGUAGAGGGGGGUAGAAUUUCAGGUGUAGCGGUGAAAUGCGUAGAGAUCUGAAGGAAUACCGGUGGCGAAGGCGGCCCCCUGGACAGAUACUGACACUCAGAUGCGAAAGCGUGGGGAGCAAACAGGAUUAGAUACCCUGGUAGGAUAGCG
rnacentral:rRNA from 1 species